AGAGCAGGUAGUCAGCCAAGGCUUCAUAGUUCUCACCCACGGCAAUUCAGCUAGCAAACUAGAGACACUUCCCCAAGAAGACACAGCGUGGCAAGACUGCUGAGAUGCAUAAAGAAAUCUUGGCUGGAAUGCCUUCUCAGAAUCUUGAUUUUCAAAGUGAUGGACUGGGAGAUCCCAAGCCAUGAAUAAAGGGUGCUCAUCACAGAUGGAACAAUGGCGAGAGCACACCUGGACAGGGGAGGGGCAGGAGUUCUGAUUCCUGACACAGGUUUCCUGGUUGAAUGUUCUGUUGUAGAAGAAUGCAACUGAGUUUUCUAAACAGAUCUUCUUCUUGACAUCCUUGCUGAACGAGAGCAAAGGAGACAGCUGGGAGCAGAUGGCAAAUCCCAGUUUGCCCAAAGAAAUGUCUAUUUUCCAAGGGGCAUGAAGAAUUUAGGAAUAAAGCAGAUCUGAUUUCUAAUUCUGACCUUGCUACUGGCAAAUUGUGUGGACUCAGGAAAGUGACUGGCCCUCCCUAAGACUCAGUGUCCUUACCUCUGAAAUGGAGCUGUCAAUCACAUCUGCCUCACAGGCUUGUUCUGAGGAUGAAGUGAGAAAAUGCCCACAAGGUGCUGGUUGCAGCAGCUGGUGCAUAGAGCUUAAAAAGGAUGCAGUCCCAAA
rnacentral:lncRNA from 1 species